rnacentral:rRNA from 1 species
ACGGGAGGCAGCAGUGGGGAAUAUUGCACAAUGGGGGAAACCCUGAUGCAGCGACGCCGCGUGAACGAUGAAGUAUUUCGGUAUGUAAAGUUCUAUCAGCAGGGAAGAUAAUGACGGUACCUGACUAAGAAGCACCGGCUAAAUACGUGCCAGCAGCCGCGGUAAUACGUAUGGUGCAAGCUUUAUCCGGAUUUACUGGGUGUAAAGGGUGCGUAGGUGGCAUGGCAAGUCUGAAGUGAAAUGCGGGGGCUCAACCCCUGAACUGCUUUGGAAACUGUCAAGCUUGAGUACAGGAGAGGAAAGCGGAAUUCCUAGUGUAGCGGUGAAAUGCAUAGAUAUUAGGAGGAACACCAGUGGCGAAGGCGGCUUUCUGGACUGUAACUGACACUGAGGCACGAAAGCGUGGGGAGCAAACAGGAUUAGAUACCCUGGUA